AUUGAACGCUGGCGGCGUGCUUAACACAUGCAAGUCGAACGGUAACAUGCAACUGAAGUGGCAACAUGGAAGUUGUGAUGACGAGUGGCGAACGGGUGAGUAAUGCAUCGGAACAUACCUAGUAGUUGGGGAUAACUAUUCGAAAGGAUAGCUAAUACCGAAUAAGCUCUGAGGAGGAAAGGUUGGGAUACGAAAGUACCAGUCGCUACUAGAGUGGCCGAUGUCUGAUUAGCUAGUUGGUAGGGUAAAGGCCUACCAAGGCGAUGAUCAGUAGCUGUUCUGAGAGGAAGUACAGCCACACUGGAACUGAGACACGGUCCAGACUCCUACGGGAGGCAGCAGUGGGGAAUUUUGGACAAUGGGGGCAACCCUGAUCCAGCAACGCCGCGUGUGUGAAGAAGGCCUGCGGGUUGUAAAGCACUUUCAGUAGGGAGGAAACAGUAGCCGGUUAAUAUCCGGUUGCCUUGACGUUACCUACAGAAGAAGCACCGGCU
rnacentral:rRNA from 1 species